GACGUAGGGCGCGAGCGUUGUCCGGAUUUAUUGGGCGUAAAGAGCUCGUAGGCGGCUUGUCGCGUCGUCCGUGAAAACCUGCAGCUCAACUGCAGGCUUGCGGUCGAUACGGGCAGGCUAGAGUUCGGUAGGGGAGACUGGAAUUCCUGGUGUAGCGGUGAAAUGCGCAGAUAUCAGGAGGAACACCGGUGGCGAAGGCGGGUCUCUGGGCCGAAUACUGA
rnacentral:rRNA from 1 species